GGACCAGCAGAAAACCAGCCGCCCUGAGGAAGGCGUCGAAGUAUGAGAAGCCAGCCUCUGAGUCAGGCAACAGAUUUCUGUCUUGUCUUGUCCUUUAGCGGCCAGACCUUCCUGGAAGCCACGUCUUACCGAGUCUUAUUAGGUGGAUGCCAGCAGCUGCCAGCCGUGCCUCCGAGUGUGCAGAUGUCAAGAGGAAAAACAAUCACAGGAUGAGGCAGCUAAACUCAGCGGGUCCCCACCAUGUGCCAGGGACUGUGGAAGGGGCUUCAGGUAAAUGAUCUCCCUCAAUUCUCAUAGCAACCCAGGAGGCUCCUUCAACACUCAUUUUGUCAGUAGAUAGUUAUCAAGCUCCUGCUACCUUGAUGAAGUACUUGCUAAUGAAAAUACCAGCCAAUAUUCAUGUCAAAACUAUGCUUGCCACUCUACACACAAGAGUUCCAUAUAAAUCAAUGAGUCCAUUGUCUUAGAACCAAUUGCCUAUAUGAAAUUUACAAUAAAAGCAUUUUUAUUUUA